rnacentral:lncRNA from 1 species
GCAAUCCUGCUUCCAAAGCUACACUCAACGCACCCGUUACGCUUUCCUUAAAAGCCAAAUGUGUUUUUAAGGUCACAGAUACCUUUGAAAUCGCAUUUCUGACUUCCCAUCCUUUUUCUCCCCGUUUCUCCCUGCCAAUGAACAGAUCCACUUCCAGAGUUUANNNNNNNNNNAAAAAAAAUGAAAAGUCGUUUCCCAGGAAUAUUUUUUUUUUUCUUCUUUUUUUUUUUUUUUUUUUUCUUCCUUUAUUUUUUUUCUUUUAAAGUGGCCAGGUCCACACAAACCGAAAAAAAGAGAGAAACGAUCAAUCUUUUUCUCGAAAGAAUUUGACAGCUCAGCCUAACUCACUCAGCAAAGAACUUUGGCUUUUGCUAAGGAGUUACUUCAAGCAAGAAAGAGUCGAAAAGUUUAAUCCAGGGCCCAGAAUCUGGGAAGUGUAAAAAAUAANNNNNNNNNNUCCCCUCGGCCCCUGCCCGCGGCGCCCCCGGGCUCGCCCCGCGCGCAGACGCCGCCCGCCGGGGUUCUACCGUGCCCGAGGAACCACCGGUGACUUAGCAAAGACGUAAUGUGAUUUAUUUUGGGUGUCACCGCGAUUGAUUCCUGCGCUGACCCCCCUCCAUUCAUAAGCCUCCCCACCCCCUCCGCCUCGCGCCCUCCCUCCCUGAUAUGUGAGGUUUGUGUUUAAAAUCGCACGUUGCUAGACCGCGUUCGUGAAGAGAUCCGCGAGCCGAGACAGAGCUGCGCAAACUGCUGCGGAAGGAGACCGCAGAUUUACGAGGCCGGAGGUUUUCUGGGUUUUGCUGCUGAAAAGACGGGGUAUGAAAAAAAAGAAUGCCUCUUUCAGGCUAAUCUCUAGCCCCUCUGCCCUCUGUAGCAUUUUUUUUUUUGUUGGCCAAAAUGAUGGCUCACACUACCCAUGUUUUGCACUUACUCGAAAUCCCCCUUUUUUCCGCCUUUUUUUUGUGGUAGUCGGGAACAUUUAAAAUACUUAUAACUGCGAUGUGGCACGUUUCUAUUUCCUGCUGAAAGUGAUGA